rnacentral:lncRNA from 1 species
GUAGAGAAGCGCUAACACUUAGAAGAAAAGCAUAACACAUUUUCUGCGUGGAAUCUGCUGGACCUAUAGGAGCAGGGGCGGGGUGAACAGGCAGACGGGUCCGCCCUUGUGGAGCUCACAUUUCAUGAGCCAGGAGUGCUGGGUGCCUGACUGCCUGGUCUGUGAUGACCCUGACGCUGGCUUGCAUGUGUGGGGCCUUACGUCACAGCACGGGUGGGACAGGGGCAGGGCCAGGGCAGGGGCAGGGCCAGUGUUGGGCUGGUCCAGUUGGGAGCAGCCCAGGGUCCCGUCGGGUCAGGGGCCUGUUUUCCAGGCCUGGGCACCUGCUGAAGCUCUGGUUACCGGCACCAGUCUGCAAAGUGGGUUGGGUGGUGGCAGCCUUCAGGAUGGGCUGGGAGGGCAUACUGGGGGAGGGGAAGGGUGACCACAUGGGUGGGGGACCAGGUGCCACUGCAGCCUGCUCCCCACAGUGGGCAGCCAGAAUCCCUAGUGUCCAGCACCCACACGUGGCGGCCUUGGCAUCUGAGUGGCUUUCCCUGUGAGCCCCUCCUUGCAGGAUGGACCCUCUGGGAGUGAGGAGUAAAAGUGUUGGGCCGUGCAGCCCCUGCCUCCUCACUGGUGGGACCCUGCCCUGCUGUGCAGUGGGGUCCUUCGUGCUGGGAUCUUUGUGGUCCCCGUUCUUGGAGAGAUGCCCGGGGCGGCAGACAGGAAGGGUGGAGGGCAAAGGGAGGGGAGGAGAGAGAGGCAGGCCGAGGGGUGGGUCGGGGGGUGGGCUGGGGCAGUGACUUCUGUGGAGGAGAAGCCUUUCAUAAGCUCCAGCCUUCCUGUGGCCACAGCAGGACCAGAGUGGACCAGCACACCCCAGGAGAGAGGACUGGGGUCCCAGGAGUAGGAGGAGGUGGGUGACUUCCCUGUGGUCCUGAGGCUGGGUGGAUAAGGGGCUGCCAGGAGAUCCACUCAGCCUGUGAUCUGAGGGUGACUGACUUUCAGAAAAGUCUAGAUAGAGGCCAAGUGCCCCUGUGAGCCACAGGACCGGGGUGCCCAGCACGCACAGGGUGUGGCCAGGAGGGGCC